CUCCCUAUCGCGCCGAGCUCCAUCCAAUAGGCGGGGGAAACCGAAAGUGGAUGGAGGCGGGGGACCCACCGGUCCACCGCGAUCGGACUGGAGUCGCUUGCGGCUCCUCGGGGUGAAGCCGGCGCCGUCUCCCAUGGGAGGGCGACGCCGGCCGGGUAGCCUCUCCAACCCGAACCCGACAGCUGACCUCGCAGGCGCGUUACGAGAGAGGAA
rfam:Mycobacterium heidelbergense strain DSM 44471 NODE_34_length_45987_cov_51.3431, whole genome shotgun sequence.